UACGGAGGGGGCUAGCGUUGUUCGGAAUUACUGGGCGUAAAGCGCACGUAGGCGGCUUUGUAAGUUAGCGGUGAAAGCCCGGGGCUCAACUCCGGAAUUGCCCUUAAGACUGCAUCGCUAGAAUUGUGGAGAGGUAAGUGGAAUUCCGAGUGUAGAGGUGAAAUUCGUAGAUAUUCGGAAGAACACCAGUGGCGAAGGCGACUUACUGGACACAUAUUGACGCUGAGGUGCGAAAGCGUGGGGAGCAAACAGG
rnacentral:rRNA from 1 species